UACGUAGGGGGCUAGCGUUGUCCGGAAUCAUUGGGCGUAAGGAGCGCGUAGGCGGCCAGAUAAGUCCGGUGUGAAAGUCACAGGCUCAACCUGUGAAUGCCGCUGGAAACUGUCUGGCUAGAGUCCGGGAGGGGCGAGUGGAAUUCCUGGUGUAGCGGUGAAAUGCGCAGAUAUCAGGAGGAACACCAAUGGCGAAGGCAGCUCGCUGGAACGGUACUGACGCUGAGGCGCGAAAGCUAGGGGAGCAAACAGG
rnacentral:rRNA from 1 species